GGGCCCAUAGCUCAGGCGGUUAGAGCGCUUCGCUGAUAACGAAGAGGUCCCAGGUUCAAGUCCUGGUGGGCCCA
rnacentral:tRNA from 21 species